CCCACCCACGGAGAACCGUGCGGGGAGGAGCUGCGGGCCGCGGAGAAACUCCAAGCGACCCUGGAGAGAGCGGGGGCCCCCCGAAAUCGCUGUAGGGCUAGCCUUAAGUGGAAGAGUCUGGGAGGUAGAGCACUGAUUGAACUAGGGGUCCUCCUCGGAUUACCGAAUUCAGUCAAACUACGAAUUCCAAUGACUUAUCAUUAGGAGUCAGACUGCGAGUGAUAAGAUCCGUAGGCAAGA
rnacentral:rRNA from 1 species